AAAUAUUACCACAAAUCUCCUCCCGACUUCAACCAUAUUAAUUUAGGCUAAUAGGAUAUAUUAUUAACAGGAAAAGUAACAGGAAAGCAUUGGAGGCUGGCGUGUCAGAAGUGGGAGAUAAACCAUGAUGUUCUGUCUGCUGGAUGAACAGAAAGAAUCUGGACUGCAAACAGCAAGGAGGAGGCAACUGGAGAGCCCACGCUGCAUGGCAGAAGGGGAAAGCAGCCUGAGAACGAAGGGCGUUCAAGGUCUCGAAACCACAUCCUCCCUCCUCUUGAUGUGAUCGAUCACUGAUGAGACAGCGCCUGGAACAGCACUGGACAGCUAUGAAGACAGAGCGAGCGGCCUGUCGGUCAGUGGUCA
rnacentral:lncRNA from 1 species